AUCGCUUCUCUGCCUUUUAGCUAAGAUAAAGUGUAGUAUCUGUCCUUAUCAGUUUAAUAUCUGGUAUGUACCCUAUCUGGGGACCAUAUAUUAAAUGGAUUUUUGAGAACUGGGGCCAAUUUUGAAGCUUACUUCCGUCCCCCUAUGCAUUGAACCAAUGUGGUAGUAUCUUCGAGGACAGUGCACAAAAA